rnacentral:tRNA from 1 species
UGGAGUACAGCUCAGGGGAAGAGCGUGUGCUUAGUACGCAUGAGGUCCUGGGUUCAAUCCCCAAUACCUCUA